rnacentral:lncRNA from 1 species
AAUGGCUUGGCAUUCCCCAAGAGGUCAGGGCAGCAAGCCUCGGGCAUGGUAUCAAAGAUCGUACGUGCCCAGGAAGCCCUUGCUCCAAAGCAACCUGUCCGGAGAGAAUGAAGCGGAGAACAAGUCACUAGACCUUCUUUCAGUCAAUGUGGAAAGGCCUUCCCUUUUGAGUGGUUCCAGUGAGGCUCUGUCCUCUAGGGAGAGACAGAGGGAUGUUGCAGAAAGGUGGCCCACUGAUUCGUAUCGGGGCUGUGAAGAAAAUAAAUCAGGGGUCGAUCUGACUGGCAGCGAUGUCCGUGUUCGAACUGGGUCAAAGGGAUGUGGGUCAUUGAGCUCUGGUCAUCCCUGUGGCCCAGCUGUGGAUUGGGUUGAUGUUGGCGGUUGGUGUGGAAAAGGGGACAGGGGACCUCAACAAAAACUGAAGGGAGAAUGUGUCACUUUUGUCCCAAGAUGCAGUGGUUCGACAGCUAGUCUCUACCCCGAGGUCCCCGCUUGGCUAAACAAGCGCCCUGGUGAGCCGGACAGUGUCUCCAGUGCAGAAGUGGUUUGUCCAAAGCAGACUGGAAAUGUGUCAGGCUUCCAGAAUCUACUGGAGUCCUCCAGGACAUCUGCAUGCUUGCAUAGGUCUAUGUUGGACCUGGAGAUGGGCGUAUCAUUUGUGGAUCGAGGCCUACUGCCCCGGGGAAGGAAUACCUUUGGAGACGUGGCCUUGUCACCUCUGGAUCUAGAACCUCCUUCAUACAACAAACAACCCAGCCUCAUGUCCUCCAUCUCCUGCGGUGUAAAAAUGUCAUGCUCCGUCACUCAGCCUCACAGAGGGGGCGGGGAGUGUUGGAACGGCAAGGCGGGUUCCUUGACAGGUCUGUAUUCGGGCAACAGGGGGAAUCAGUUCUCCGGACCAUAUCCUCGUACUGAAAUUGCAAGGAAUGCUGGACAACCGUCGCCAAACCUUCUUUCAUCAGGCGUAUCAAUGGUGGCGGACGUUGAGCCAGGGUUGAAAGACGAGUGGGAGGCAGACGGGAAGACUGACUUUUUAGAUUUCACCCCGUGCGGCUCUGAUUUCCUAAGUGAUGGGUGUUUUUUACCGGCAAGCCUUUCUCGGCGUAGCUUCUGUGGCAGACAGAAGACCACAGGGGGGGCUUACCCUAGUUAUCACUCAAACUGCACGUGGCAUAGUUUUCAUCCCGCCUCUGAUCUUAAAGGCAUAGAGGAUGUGUUUCAGGUGCCUGGAGUCAGAGCAUGUAAUCCAGCUGGGUCAGAUUGUCUCUCAUGGGAAGACAGACUCGCAGCGAAUAAGAACUUGUGUCAAAUGACCCUGGCAGACAUGAAAGGAUCAGGUCGUCUGAGAAGAACAAGCUCCAUGAGCGUGUCAAGCCAGGAUGACAGGGAUGGUUAUGGAGGUCUUAACAGAAUAACUCCAGGGUCUGCUGCUCCUGAAAGGCACUGCCUGAUCGACCCAUUACCAGAAACACACACAGGCACAUCUGUAACAUUGCAUUCAGGAGGCGCCAGUGGUGUACUUCUUGGUGAAAGAGAUCUGUCUUCAGUUCAUGAGCCCUUGCCGAUGCCUCCUGACACAGAAGGGAUUCAUAGCCCUCUUCUUGAACAGACAAUAGAAGACAGCAGGUGGCUGGCGUUGUACACAUUCAGACUGCGGUUACGCUGCCUCAGGACAUGGUACGGGCAGAGGAGGUCACACACACAGGCCAGGCUGCAGCACCGGAAACACCUCCUGGAGGCUGGCUUCUCUGCCCUGAGGCGGGCCACCGUGAUCCGCCGCGCCCGGGCACACACCCUGGCCAGGGCCACGGACGCCCUGACCCUUGCCCACUGUUUCCUUCGGGUCGGUAAUUAUGCUCGGCCUGGGUGCUGCCUUGUUUGUGCAGCACCCCUGUGUAUGUCGGUUAGGUGACGAGUCGGCGGGCUCCCAGGCUAAGCCGGAGUUUGGGCUGAACCGUAACUGAGACUCAGGGAGCAUGCUCAGUUGCAAACGUCUCUCAUAACUUCACAUGGAUUUGCUUCUACUGUCUUAGCUCAUUAAUGACAUGACACCUGUCUCUCCACCAGGUGGCAGUACUCUUACGGAGUUUAACUAUGUGCUUCAGUGACAUGACUCGCGCAAACUGUAGCUUUCCCUUGUAACGGUGUGCAGUGGAGGAGGUGUGUGGAGCAGAGGUGUUGUCCCGGAUCUGAGGGGGGUGAAGUUGGGGACGUGGGGGCCCUCCGGACGAGACUGACCCAGCCUAGUGACACCCCGGUCCUGAGGACGGCCUGCUGCUCCUGGAGGAGCCACAUCCAGGGCUGGCAGCUCCAGAGGGCAGCGCUCAUCCACUACCA